rnacentral:rRNA from 1 species
UACGUAGGGUGCAAGCGUUUGUCCGGAAUUAUUGGGCGUAAAGAGCUCGUAGGCGGUCUGUCGCGUCUGCUGUGAAAACUCGGGGCUUAACCCCGGGCCUGCAGUGGGUACGGGCAGACUAGAGUGUGGCAGAGGGGGGUGGAAUUCCGCGUGUAGCAGUGAAAUGCGUAGAGAUGCGGAGGAACACCGAUGGCGAAGGCAGCCCCCCUGGGCUAGCACUGACGCUCAGGCACGAAAGCGUGGGGAGCAAACAGG